UGAGUGCACUCGGCUUUUCCACGUAC
rnacentral:piRNA from 1 species